rnacentral:lncRNA from 1 species
UCAGGUAAUAAAGUAAAGAGAUACUUAUCAAGUUACCGAAGUGCGAGACAUCUGCUUUAUUGGGAGUUUGUUUACCCCGAAAGGCCUAACAGAACUACAAGAUAACAUUCGCCUACCACGAAGGGCCUGACGAAGUUUAAAGUGUCGAUCAUUGCCUACCACGAAGGGCCUGACAAUGUCUUAAAGAUGACACUUGCCUACCUCGAAGGGCCUGACAAGGUCUAAGUGGCGACAAUUGCCUACCCCGAAGGGCCUGACAAUGUCAAAUAGUGGCGACAAUUGCCUACCCCGAAGGGCCUGACAAUGCCAAAUAGUGACCUACUGCCAAAAAGG